GAUGAACGCUGGCGGCGUGCCUAAUACAUGCAAGUCGAGCGAACAGAUGAGGAGCUUGCUCCUCUGACGUUAGCGGCGGACGGGUGAGUAACACGUGGAUAACCUACCUAUAAGACUGGGAUAACUUCGGGAAACCGGAGCUAAUACCGGAUAAUAUAUUGAAUCGCAUGGUUCAAUAGUGAAAGACGGUUUUGCUGUCACUUAUAGAUGGAUCCGCGCCUCAUUAGCUAGUUGGUAAGGUAACGGCUUACCAAGGCAACGAUGCGUAGCCGACCUGAGAGGGUGAUCGGCCACACUGGAACUGAGACACGGUCCAGACUCCUACGGGAGGCAGCAGUAGGGAAUCUUCCGCAAUGGGCGAAAGCCUGACGGAGCAACGCCGCGUGAGUGAUGAAGGUCUUCGGAUCGUAAAACUCUGUUAUUAGGGAAGAACAAAUGUGUAAGUAACUAUGCACGUCUUGACGGUACCUAAUCAGAAAGCCACGGCUAACUACGUG
rnacentral:rRNA from 1 species